rnacentral:misc_RNA from 1 species
CCAAAAAUAUUGUUCAAAGUCCUCUUGAUCUCUCCCGCCCGAGGAAACUUCUGCUCAAGUCCUGCUGGUUUCAAAUCAGAAAGAAGAGACUGGAACAUACCGCCCGGGUCAGCUUGGGAUAAUCCACCACCAGGCCUCGAAGUGCCUGGGAGUGAGGAAACAAGCCGACUUUCAGCACCCUCACGAAAAUUUCCUAACUUCUCCAGUGCAUAGG